rnacentral:rRNA from 1 species
CCUACGGGUGGCAGCAGUGAGGAAUAUUGGUCAAUGGGCGCUAGCCUGAACCAGCCAAGUAGCGUGAAGGAUGACUGCCCUAUGGGUUGUAAACUUCUUUUAUAUGGGAAUAAAGUGCAUUAUGUAUACUGCUUUGCAUGUACCUUAUGAAUAAGGAACGGCUAACUCCGUGCCAGCAGCCGCGGUAAUACGGAGGGUCCGAUCGGUAUCCGGAUUUAUUGGGUUUAAAGGGAACGUAGGCGGGAUGUUAAGUCAGUUGUGAAAUUCUGGGGCUCAACCGUACAAUUGCAGUUGAUACUGGCAUCCUUGAGUGCGGGAGAGGUAAGCGGAAUUCGUGGUGUAGCGGUGAAAUGCUUAGAUAUCACGAAGAACUCCGAUUGCGAAGGCAGCCAGCUGGACUGUAACUGACGCUGAUGCUCGAAAGUGUGGGUAUCAAACAGGAUUAGAUACCCCAGUAGUC